rnacentral:sRNA from 1 species
UGCAGAUUCUGGGAGCAGACGGCGGGCC